AUGCCAUGGCCAAGGAGGGAUUGCCAAGGAGGGAUUACCAAGGUUCAAGAUGUAUUCCAAGGGAACACGAGUUCUGUGUGGCACCUCUACACCAGAACCGUGUUUGGGGCAAACCAAGAACUGAGCAGAUCCUCUUUUAUUUCCACUCAUUUUCAGGGUGGUUUCUCCCAAACCAAGACAAGCAGUCAGAUUCCUGGAUUUUCGUGUGAGGAUGGAAAUCCUCAUCUCCCCCAAAGCAGGGCACAGAGGGAGCAGGAGAAGCAGGUGCUGAACGCUCCCACUGAGCUGUCCCUCAGCAGGAGAGGAGUUGGGAUUGGGAAGAGAGGGAAGGAUUAAAGAGAGAUGGAUUUCCUGCACCCAAACCAAGGAGCAACAAAAAAACCCAGAAAACCCCACCAAGUUUAAUCCUGUCCCAGACAAGGCCAGCAGGCACCACAUACAAAUAGCUCAGGCUUUGAUUCCAUCUGCCCCUUCCUAAAAGUGGAAGGUGAAAAUAUUACAUCCAAGUGCCUGCUUUGGGCACAGGCACCGAAGGGGGAGGAAGGAGAGGGUGUUCCUUAGGGACAGAUGACCCCAGCGUGCUGGGAGAGCCAAGCCCAGUGUCUGAGUGGGUCAGACAUUGUUAGAUCUGGCAGGGAGUCAGACAUCUGCCAGGGAACGAGGAUUUUGUCAGGAGAAGUGGGAGAGAGAGAGAGGGAGAGACGCAGCGAGAGCCUCGCAGCGUUCUGUAUCAGCCCGGAUAACACUUCCUCUUUAAAAUUCCCUUACUAAGCUGGGCUCCUAUAUUUUAUAUUCAGCAGCGAGGUCCCCGCCCCCCCAGCCCUCCCCACCCACCGCCACCCUGGCUGCCUUUAACUUGUUAAGUUUGAAAGAUGAUCCAUACACAGGCUCUGCUCUGCCAGGCAGCCCCGUUUAAGGCCAAGAUUAAUGCAGUGCAUUGGUGCAAUCGUGCCGCAGUGGUGCGUGAUCGGAAUACGAGAUGGAAUAUGGGGGGAAAGGCCAGAAAUGUGCCUGGAUUCCCAGUUUACACAAGUCUCCUUAGCAACUUGUCUGAUUAUUUUCAUUUUUUUUUCCCCGUUUUAUUUUUUUUCAUACAUGUGCAUGCAGCAGCCUUGUCCCAAAUCUCCAGCGAAUAAAACAUUCCCUGAGUUUUUAAACCUCUUCCA
rnacentral:lncRNA from 1 species